GUGCUCGCUCCGGCAGUACAUAUACUAAAAUUAGAAUGGUGCAGAGAAGAUUCGCGUGGCCCCUGCAUUAGGAUGACACAUAAAUUCGUGAAGCAUUCCAUAUUUUU
ensembl:snRNA U6 U6 spliceosomal RNA